UACAGAGGUCCCAAGCGUUGUUCGGAUUCACUGGGCGUAAAGGGUGCGUAGACGGUUAUUUAAGUCAGAUGUGAAAGCCCCGGGCUCAACCUGGGAAUUGCAUUUGAGACUGAAUAGCUAGGGUGCGGUAGAGGGAAGCGGAAUUUCCGGUGUAGCGGUGAAAUGCGUAGAUAUCAGGAGGAACACCAACGGCGAAGGCAGCUCGCUGGGACGGUACUGACGCUGAGGCGCGAAAGCGUGGGGAGCGAACAGG
rnacentral:rRNA from 1 species